rnacentral:misc_RNA from 1 species
UCUCCGUUGGUGAACCAGCGGAGGGAUCAUUGUCGGACGCAGACCCCAAACCAUCGCGAACAUACCCCGAAGAAAUAGUGCCUCGGCGGGCGGCUCCAGGGAGCCCCGGGCCCCCUCCACCGGGAGGGGGCGCCCGCCGGCGGCGCCCCAGACCCUGUCGCAUCUCGUGCCCCUCUGAGUCACACGGACAAGUCAAAACUUUCAACAACGGAUCUCUUGGCUCUG